rnacentral:rRNA from 1 species
CCUACGGGAUGCAGCAGUCGAGAAUCAUUCACAAUGGGGGAAACCCUGAUGGUGCGACGCCGCGUGGGGGAAUGAAGGUCUUCGGAUUGUAAACCCCUGUCAUGUGGGAGCAAAUUAAAAAGAUAGUACCACAAGAGGAAGAGACGGCUAACUCUGUGCCAGCAGCCGCGGUAAUACAGAGGUCUCAAGCGUUGUUCGGAAUCACUGGGCGUAAGGCGUGCGUAGGCUGUUUCGUAAGUCGUGUGUGAAAGUCGCGGGCUCAACCCGCGGACGGCACAUGAUACUGCGAGACUAGAGUAAUGGAGGGGGAACCGGAAUUCUCGGUGUAGCAGUGAAAUGCGUAGAUAUCGAGAGGAACACUCGUGGCGAAGGCGGGUUCCUGGACAUUAACUGACGCUGAGGCACGAAGGCCAGGGGAGCGAAAGGGAUUAGAUACCCCGGUAGUC